rnacentral:lncRNA from 1 species
CCCAGCACCACUGCCUUCCUUUCAUUUCUUCUUCUUCUUCUUCUUCUUCUUCUUCCCUUUCUUUUCUUUCUUUCCCUUUCUUCUUCUCUGCGAUUGUGUCUGUGUCGCGUCCCAACAGCUCCAGCAGAAACGCGAGCCACCAGCACGAGCUCAGCCACGUAGCGCCACCUCGCCGCUGGUCCACGCUGCAGUAGCUCCGCCAUCGCUGUCUCUCUCUCCN